rnacentral:rRNA from 1 species
AUUGAACGCUGGCGGCAGGCCUAACACAUGCAAGUCGAGCGGAUGAAGGGAGCUUGCUCCUGGAUUCAGCGGCGGACGGGUGAGUAAUGCCUAGGAAUCUGCCUGGUAGUGGGGGAUAACGUCCGGAGACGGGCGCUAAUACCGCAUACGUCCUGAGGGAGAAAGUGGGUGAUCUUCGGACCUCACGCUAUCAGAUGAGCGUAGGUCGGAUUAGCUAGUUGGUGGGGUAAAGGCCUACCAAGGCGACGAUCCGUAACUGGUCUGAGAGGAUGAUCAGUCACACUGGAACUGAGACACGGUCCAUACUCCUACGGGAGGCAGCAGUGGGGAGUAUUGGACAAUGGGCGAAAGCCUGAUCCAGCCAUGCCGCGUGUGUGAAGAAGGUCUUCGGAUUGUAAAGCACUUUAAGUUGGGAGGAAGGGCAGUAAGUUAAUACCUUGCUGUUUUGACGUUACCAACAGAAUAAGCACCGGCUAACUUCGUG